rnacentral:rRNA from 1 species
UCGGGAAUUUUGGGCAAUGGGCGAAAGCCUGAUCCAGCCAUGCCGCGUGAGUGAAGAAGGCCUUCGGGUUGUAAAGCUCUUUCAGCCGGGAAGAAAACGCAUGGGUUAAUACCCUGUGUGGAUGACGGUACCGGAAUAAGAAGCACCGGCUAACUACGUGCCAGCAGCCGCGGUAAUACGUAGGGACCAAGCGUUGUUCGGAUUUACUGGGCGUAAAGGGCGCGUAGGCGGCGCGGUAAGUCACUUGUGAAAUCUCUGAGCUUAACUCAGAACGGCCAAGUGAUACUGCAGUGCUAGAGUGUGGAAGGGGCAAUCGGAAUUCUUGGUGUAGCGGUGAAAUGCGUAGAUAUCAAGAGGAACACCUGAGGUGAAGACGGGUUGCUGGGCUGACAUUGACGCUGAGGCGCGAAAGCCAGGGGAGCAAACGGGAUUAGAUACCCUCGUAGUCCCUGAGCGGGCUGGCAAGGCGCAU